rnacentral:rRNA from 1 species
UACGUAGGGGGCAAGCGUUGUUCGGAAUUACUGGGCGUAAAGAGCUCGUAGGUGGUUUGUCGCGUCGUCUGUGAAAUUCCGGGGCUUAACUCCGGGCGUGCAGGCGAUACGGGCAUCCUGGAGUGCUGUAGAGGAGACUGGAAUUCCAGGUGUAGCGGUGGAAUGCGCAGAUAUCAGGAGGAACACCGAUGGCGAAGGCAGGUCUCUGGGCAGUUACUGACACUGAGGAGCGAAAGCAUGGGGAGCGAACAGG